GUCGCAGUAGUAUAAUGGUUAUUAUAUGUGCUUGCCAUGCACAAUAUGGCGGUUCGAUUCCGCUCUGCGGCUCCA
rnacentral:tRNA from 2 species